UACGGGGGGGGGCAAGCGUUGUUCGGAAUUACUGGGCGUAAAGGGCUCGUAGGCGGCCAACUAAGUCAGACGUGAAAUCCCCAGGCUUAACCUGGGAACUGCGUCUGAUACUGGAUGGCUUGAAUUCGGGAGAGGGAUGCAGAAUUCCAGGUGUAGCGGUGAAAUGCGUAGAUAUCUGGAGGAAUACCGGUGGCGAAGGCGGCAUCCUGGACCGAGAUUGACGCUGAUGAGCGAAAGCUAGGGGAGCAAACGGG
rnacentral:rRNA from 1 species